CUACGGGGCGCAGCAGUCGAGAAUCUUCCGCAAUGGACGAAAGUCUGACGGAGCGACGCCGCGUGCGGGAUGAAGGCCUUCGGGUUGUAAACCGCUGUCAGUGGGGAGGAAAUGCAUCAGGGUUCUCCCUGGUGUUUGACCGAUCCGCAGAGGAAGCGCAGGCUAAGUUCGUGCCAGCAGCCGCGGUAACACGAACUGCGCGAACGUUAUUCGGAAUCACUGGGCUUAAAGAGUUUGUAGGCGGCCUUUCAAGUCGGGUGUGAAAUCCCUCGGCUCAACCGAGGAAUUGCGCCUGAUACUGUUGGGCUUGAGGGGGAUAGGGGUGAGCGGAACUGAUGGUGGAGCGGUGAAAUGCGUUGAUAUCAUCAGGAACACCGGUGGCGAAGGCGGCUCACUGGAUCUCUUCUGACGCUGAGGAACGAAAGCUAGGGGAGCGAACGGGAUUAGAUACCCUAGUAGUC
rnacentral:rRNA from 1 species